rnacentral:lncRNA from 1 species
GUACUCAGGCAGUUGGAAGUGAUGAUGGAGAAGAUAACUGGAGUGACACUUGAAAUAUUUUUCAAGAAUGAUGACAUUAGUCUAUCAAACCCAAGCGUGUAUAAUUUUGCCUCUGGAGUUAGGUGAGUGUGUGUAAAUAAUUAGUUGUUAUCUGUAAGUAUUUUUAGGUCCCCUUUUUUGUAUCUCGAUUAGCUUUUCACCUUAGGUAGCUUUCAACCUGUUUCUGUAAACAUUGUGCUCUAAACUCUAGUAUGACCCAGCAACAUUUUCAAGGCAUGAAUUUAUGCAUAAGCCACCUCUCUUUGAUGCUUUCAACAUCUAUCUAGUAUUAUUUCACAGCUCCGAC